rnacentral:snRNA from 1 species
AUGCUCACUUAGGCAGCACAUACUGGGACAAUACAGAGAUCAGCAUGACCCCUGUGCGAAGAUGACAUGUAAAUUCAUGAAGCAUUUCAUAUUUUU